rnacentral:rRNA from 1 species
AAGUCGAACGAAUUGCGGAGGGCUUGCUCUUCGCAGUUAGUGGCGGACGGGUGCGUAACACGUGAGCAACUUGCCCUCGGGUGGGGGAUAGCCGGCCCAACGGCCGGGUAAUACCGCGUACAGCAUCGGUGUCGCAUGGCGCUGAUGUGAAAGGAACUUCGGUUUCGCCUGAGGAGGGGCUCGCGGCGUAUCAGCUUGUUGGUGGGGUAACGGCCUACCAAGGCGACGACGCGUAGCUGGUCUGAGAGGACGAUCAGCCACAUUGGGACUGAGAUACGGCCCAGACUCCUACGGGAGGCAGCAGUGGGGAAUAUUGCGCAAUGGCCGCAAGGCUGACGCAGCGACGCCGUGUGUGGGAUGAAGGCUUUCGGGUUGUAAACCACUGUCGGGAGGGACGAAACAAAUGACGGUACCUCCAAAGGAAGCGCCGGCUAACUCCGUGCCAGCAGCCGCGGUAACACGGAGGGCGCGAGCGUUGUUCGGAAUCACUGGGCGUAAAGCGCACGUAGGCGGUUGGGUAAGUCGCUUGUGAAAGCCCGGGGCUCAACUCCGGGAUGCCAGGCGAUACUGUCCGACUGGAGCACGGUAGAGGCAAGUGGAAUUCCCGGUGUAGCGGUGGAAUGCGUAGAUAUCGGGAAGAACACCAGUGGCGAAAGCGGCUUGCUGGGCCGUUGCUGACGCUGA